UCGUUGGCUCCUGCGGACGGAAGCUCGGUUGGUGUGUCUCCAGAAGUUUCCUCGUUGGGCGGUGGCCGUGCCUGAUGUCCUAGGUUCUCAUCGCGAUAGUAACUCCUAGGGAUGGCUGCGGCUGCGGCGAGACCUACAACCCCCCAGAGGUUUUCCCAGAGCCUCUCAGAUGCUGUGAUUGACGAGGACCCCCAGGCGGCGUUAGAGGAACUGACUAAGGCU